GCAAGGAAUAUUGUGCAAUGGGCGAAAGCCUGACACAGCGACGCCGCGUGAGGGAUGAAGACCCUCGGGUUGUAAACCUCUUUUUUCAGGGACGAAUAAUGACGGUACCUGGAGAAUAAGUCUCGGCCAACUACGUGCCAGCAGCCGCGGUAAUACGUAGGAGGCAAGCGUUAUCCGGAUUUAUUGGGCGUACAGAGAGUGUAGGCGGCUCGUCAAGUCGAACGUAAAAUCUCUCAGCUUAACCGAGAGGGACCAUUCGAUACUGACGGGCUAGAGUGCAGUAGAGGAAAGUGGAAUUCCCGGUGUAGUGGUGAAAUGCGUAGAUAUCGGGAGGAACACCAGUGGCGAAGGCGGCUUUCUAGGCUGCUACUGACGCUGAGGCUCGAAAGCGUGGGGAGCGAACAGGAUUAGAAACCCCUGUAGUCC
rnacentral:rRNA from 1 species